UACGGAGGGUGCGAGCGUUGUCCGGAAUUACUGGGCGUAAAGGGCUCGUAGGUGGCCAACUAAGUCAGACGUGAAAUCCCUCGGCUUAACCGGGGAACUGCGUCUGAUACUGGAUGGCUUGAGGUUGGGAGAGGGAUGCGGAAUUCCAGGUGUAGCGGUGAAAUGCGUAGAUAUCUGGAGGAACACCAGCGGCGAAGGCGGCGCUCUGGGCCGGUACUGACGCUGAGGAGCGAAAGCGUGGGGAUCAAACAGG
rnacentral:rRNA from 1 species